GUUCGUUUAUAAAAUAUUUAUAAAUCACUUACAGGGAUGCCAAGUCCGAUGUUAGAACUGAGGCUGCAGACUCCUUUCAGAUCCUUGUGAACAGGUGUUGUGGCAAACAUCUGUGAUCCCGUGCUGGUGAGUAACAAGUGGACUUCGAUGGACUACCCGACCGAAGCAGACCAUCCACCGUUCCACCCAGUUCCAAGCAUUUGCCUUUGAAUCACCUCUACACAACCCAGCUUCCAGCUGCUCUUCAAGAUCGAGUUGAGCUGCCUUCGUCCGAACACAGACACGACACAACCAAGACGCUCUCUCUAGUCUCCUGCCCUCCCAGAACUACAGUACGGAGACUGGCCUGACCCUCCGACCACGAAAACCGUUAAACCCUGGACCGAGCGACAAUCUCCUUCCAAACCCCGCGUAGGAAAG